UACGUAGGGUGCAGCGUUACUCGGAUUUACUAGGCGUAAAGCGCGUGUAGGCGGAGUUUUAAGUCCAUCGUGAAAGAUCCCCGCUCAACGGGGAAGGGUCGAUGGAUACUGAAACUCUCGAGUGAGGCAGGGGGAACCGGAAUUCCCGGUGUAGCGGUGAAAUGCGUAGAUAUCGGGAGGAACGCCGAAGGCGAAAGCGGGUUCCUGGGCCUAUACUGACGCUGAGACGCGACAGCUAGGGGAGCAAACAGGAUUAGAUACCCUGGUAGUCCUAGCCGUAAACGAUGUAGACUAGGCGUGGGAGGUAUCGACCCCUUCCGUGCCGCAGCUAACGCGUUAAGUCUACCGCCUGGGGAGUACGGCCGCAAGGUUAAAACUCAAAGGAAUUGACGGGGGCCUGCACAAGCGGUGGAUCAUGUGGUUUAAUUCGACGCUACACGAAGAACCUUACCUGGGCUCGAACGGCUGGUGUUGUACUCCGAUGGAAACAUCGGAGGACCCGAUGAGGGACCCAGUCGAGGUGCUGCAUGGUUGUCGUCAGCUCGUGUCGUGAGAUGUUGGGUUAAGUCCCGCAACGAGCGCAACCCCCGCCCUAUGUUGCCAGCGGGUAAUGCCGGGCACUCUUAGGGGACUGCCGGCGACAAGUCGGAGGAAGGAGGGGAUGACGUCAAAUCAUCAUGGCCUUUAUGUCCAGGGCUACACACGUGAUACAAUGGCGUAGACAGCGGGAAGCAAUGGGGCGACCCGGAGCAAAUCCCUUAAACUACGCCUCAGUUCAGAUUGUAGGCUGCAACUCGCCUACAUGAAGGCGGAAUCGCUAGUAAUCGCGCAUCAGCACCGGCGCGGUGAAUACGUUCCCAGGCCUUGCACACACCGCCCGUCAAGG
rnacentral:rRNA from 1 species